GUCCAUGGUCAUAUCACCCUGAAUGCACCUGAUCUCCUUUGAUCUCUGAAACUAAGCAGGGUCAGGCCUGGUUAGUACUCAGUGGGAGAAUAUCAUCUGAGUGGCAUGUGGAAGUGGUGGUGA
rnacentral:rRNA from 1 species